rnacentral:lncRNA from 10 species
AGUCUCCCUCUCUCACUUGUCCUGCAUAAACUGGACUAGAUCUAUGUUUCUGACCCCUAAUUCUGCAUUAAAAUCAUCUGUUUAAAAUGUAAAUCAACUGUUUAAAAUCACACACUUUGGGAGCCUGAAGCUGGAGGAGUGCUUGAGCUCAGGAGUUCAAGACCAGCCUAGGCAACAUAGCAAGACUGUCUCCACUAAAAAUCAAGACAAUUAGCCAGGUGUAGUGGCAUGCACCAGUAGUCCCAGCUACUCAGGAGGCUGAAGUGGGAGGAUCACUUGAGCCCAAGAGAUGGAGGCUGCAGUGAGCUAUGACUGUACCACUGCACUCCAGUCUGGGAAACAGAGCAAGACCCUGUCUCAAAAAAUAAUAAUAAUAAAUUAAGAAAAUUGGUGAACUGGGUGAAAGAGUAUACAGGAGUAUGUUGUACUAUUCUUGCAACUUUUCUGUAAAUUCAACAUUUUUUCCCAAAAAAAACUUUUUUUAAAGUACCAAUGUCUGAGCCCUUCCUCUAUAGACUCAGAAGGAGGCUUACGGUGUGGGUUUAACAGGACCCCCGAGAGUUCUUGGCCCAGCUGGGGUUCCAAGACAAUCUCUCAGACCUCCAGCUCCCAAGCUGUGAUUCUGCAAUCCUGAGAAAGGUUUUGGCUUGUUUGGCCU